GGAGGGUGCAAGCGUUGUUCGGAAUUACUGGGCGUAAAGAGCGUGUAGGCGGUUUGGGCAAGUCAGAUGUGAAAGCCCUGGGGCUCAACCCAGGAAGUGCAUUUGAAACUGCCAUUCUAGAGUAUGGGAGAGGAGAGUGGAAUUCCCGGUGUAGAGGUGAAAUUCGUAGAUAUUGGGAGGAACACCCGUGGCGAAGGCGACUCUCUGGACCAAUACUGACGCUGAGACGCGAAAGCGUGGGGAGCAAACAGGAUUAGAUACCCUGGUAGUCCACGCCGUAAACGAUGAGAACUAGGUGUAGCGGGUAUUGACCCCUGCUGUGCCGUAGCUAACGCAUUAAGUUCUCCGCCUGGGGAGUACGGUCGCAAGGCUA
rnacentral:rRNA from 1 species